rnacentral:lncRNA from 15 species
AUGUGUGCUUCUCUUACAGGUCAACAUGAUCAAAAACUCAUUUCACCCACAAGCUAUUCCAGAGAGGUGUUUUUCUCUGACACAUCACCCCUGUCCUCUCCAUAUCCCACUGGGGCUUCCAUCUUUGUUUCCUCUCCCUUCUCCAGUAAACUGAAACAUUCCCACAGCUGGAGCACCACAUCCCCACAAGGCUUCAAGCCCCGCAGCAGCAGGGGUUUAAGCUCAGUGGAGGAGAGUGCUGAGUGGGCAGACAAGGAGGUAGAAAGGCUCUCUCCUGCCUCACCUGAGCAUAUGAACUUCUACAAGAGAACCAGGCCCCCAAAAGACUCCAGAGAGCUAAGCAGCCCAAAGAAAACAGGGGAGACAUUAUCUAAAGCCAAAGAGCAACAUCACACUCCCAAAAAGACUGAGAGUCAGGCACAGGAAGAAACACUAAGGAACAGGACAUCUCAGACACGGACAAAAACACAAUCCACAAGUCCUAUGAAAUCUCCUAAGGAUGGACAGCAAAUGGCUUCAACCUUGCAGCGCACAGAGCAACAACCAGGCCCUCAGAGGAGAUUAAAAGACUCCUCUAGCAGAGAGAGCUUGGAUAAUGAAAAGAAAAAUGGCAAAGGGGGAAAUCUUGAGAUCAGACGACACACACUAGGAAGGGAGACGGAAGGGAGAGAAAGGACCAGGCCUGGCCGUGAUCAAGAAAGUUUUAAAAGAAGGGGGGUGGGAGAGUCUCACCACCAAAGGACAUCUCCUUGUACAGUCAGAGAUAGCGAGAAAGGUACAGGUAAAGAUGCAAGGCAGAGAGAUGCCAAUGGGAAAUCUACGGAAGACAAAAAUACCAGUAAAGAGACUAUCAACAAAAGAGAAUCCCUGUUGUCUUUUAAAGAUAUAUGGAGUAGAAAAGGUUCUGUAGUUUCACCGAGAGAGGCAAAAGGAAGAGAAGACACAUUUUCUUACUUCAAAGAAGUCAGUAGUAAGGAAGACAUUGUGGAUUCUGUAUACAGUAUUCCAGGGACCCUGCAGAGCCCAAAGGGACCUCUUAGCCCAGGCCCUUGGAAAGUGCCCAGCUCAGCCAAAAUCCUCUCCCAGGCAGAGGUCCUUCGUGACCCUUUGUGA